rnacentral:lncRNA from 1 species
AAGGACAUGUCAGCUGUCUAGGUCGUUGGGGGAACUGCCACUGGUAUGUGGUGAGGAGGUCCGCAUGGUUGUGGAUGAGACCCAGUCACUAGACGAGGCCUUUUCUGCUGACCAGGUGUCAAAUGGGGUUCCCUUGGUGCCAGCCUAUAGGACAUACCUUGGGGAUGGGAAGAUCUUCAGUUUCCAGAGUUGGCUCUGACUGAGGCAGGACCAGUGGAGGUUCUACUACCAGAUAUAGUUCUUUCCAAGGUUGCAUGUUGACUGCAACAGACUACUAACACAGGUGUUGGAUGCCACAGCUGACACUGCUCUAAAGGUUGCAUGUUGACUGCAACAGACUACUAACACAGGUGUUGGAUGCCACAGCUGACACUGCUCUAAAGGUUGCAUGUUGACUGCAACAGAACACAGGUGUUGGAUGCAACAGCUGACACUGGUCUAAAGGUAAUAGACAUAUUUUUUAUAUACCAUUUAUCCUCUGACAAUUUAAUAAAAACUGGUAUUAUAAUAUAUAAAACAUUGCAGUUUUAACUUAUAACAUUUAUGUACAUUUUAAUAUCUAUAAUUCCAGUUGUAGAAGGUGUUUUUUUAUUGGUUAUUUCAAUAUUCCUCUUUCUUGCUGUUCCCCCAAAAUGUGAAACCUAGGAUAAGUAUUAGCUCACCUGUCACAUCGCCCCCUCAACGCAACAGUUGUAUCUUAUUAUAAAUUUAUAAUAAAAUCCAACUUUAUUGCGUUGAGGUGACGACAUAAUGACAAGGUGAGCU